AUAUGAUAUGAUGUUAAGAUCAGGUAAUUAUACUUCAAUCCUAAGUGAUACUACUUUGAUGGGUAGUGGAAAUCUGUGACAGAAAAAUGGCAUUUUUUGAGUUAUUGUUAUGUCUGUAGAGCAUAUGAACUAAACUAGGCCAUGGAAUCUCCAUGUCUUGUGCUUCAAAUGAAGGCUGGAUGAAAAUACCUCAUUCUGAUAUUCUGACUAGAAUGUUUGAAAAUUUACUAGUUCCCACUGAAAUGCAGUGAGCUGUGGCUCCUAUUUUUGCCAUUUCUUAAAACAAAAAAAGAAAAGAAAGCAAAAAAACACCCAACAAAACCUCAAAAAAAAUGAAAAACUGUACAUAAUUUGGCUUGUGAUUAGGCAAUUUUGGUUGUAUGUUAUUAGUGAUCAGUCAGAUAAUGUAGAGUUUUAAUUCACUUUGCCUGAUUUCUUCAUAUCGAGCGCAUCUCGAGAUUUGUCUUCAUGUACUUACUGUUCUCAUUGCAUGGAGAAGGAAGAGAAAAUGGCAAAGGAAGCAGUAGGUGUGAGGCAGAUAUUGUUGCAAUUGCAUCUGAAUCAGCUCCUGCUCGUGGUGGUGAGGCUUUGUACUCCCUUGGCCAGAGCAGGAGAAGCUGAUGCAGUCUGAAAAGGGAACAGAGCUGUAAACCUAAGAGCAAAAAGGGACUAGUGGAAUCAAGAAAUGUGGGUAGAUAAUUGUUUCUACCUUGUCUGAAAUCCUACCCAAGAACUUGCCUUUCAAUCUAACAGUUUCUCCAUCCUGAUCUACACUUUUUUGUAGCAGUAUCCUUUGACCUGUAUGCCAAGCCAGGUAACAACAGGACUCUAACUCUGAUGAAUCCCAAAAAGUCUUUUUAUCAAUGGAGACUGAGAGUUCCUUCUAAUUACGUGGUGAGACUGGUAGUUAUCACUCAGCAUGGUGUCACUCCAGAGAGCUGUGCAUCACACCACUUGUCAGCAUAUGAUUUCCUUCUUCCACUGAAGAACAAGAUCAUCACCAGAUGGUGUGGGCCUGGGGCCUGGACUCCUUCUGUUGUGCGUUUGACUUCAUCGAGUAAUGUGAUGUUGCUUACCUUCUCACUGGAUCAAAGAGGAGAAAGCAAUAUAUUAAAAGCUCACUUUCAAGCUGUUCCUAAAAUCAGUAUGUAGCAUCUGAUGGAAGGACACUUAUUACUGGUUUUGCCUCUAAAAAAGUUGAUAUUGUCUUGAAUAUAUCU
rnacentral:lncRNA from 1 species